rnacentral:rRNA from 1 species
CACAAGCGGUGGAGUAUGUGGUUUAAUUCGAUGCAACGCGAAGAACCUUACCUGGGUUGGAAACCCCUGGAAUCCUGCAGAGAUGUGGGAGUGCUCUUUUAGAGAAUCAGGUGUCCAGGUGCUGCAUGGUUGUCGUCAGCUCGUGUCGUGAGAUGUUGGGUUAAGUCCCGCAACGAGCGCAACCCCUGUUGUUAGUUGCCAGCGAUUCGGUCGGGCACUCUAACGAGACUGCCGGUGGUAAGCCGGAGGAAGGUGGGGAUGACGUCAAGUCCUCAUGGCCCUUAUAGGUGGGGCUACACACGUCAUACAAUGGCUGGUACAAAGGGUUGCCAACCCGCGAGGGGGAGCCAAUCCCAUAAAGCCAGUCGUAGUCCGGAUCGUAGUCUGCAACUCGACUACGUGAAGUCGGAAUCGCUAGUAAUGGCGGAUCAGCAUGCCGCCGUGAAUACGUUCCCGGGUCUU